AACUUUUGCUAUUGGAAUAAUCUCCAACAUAAUUGAUACAUUAAAAAAAAAAAAAGCUUGAUGGUGCCCAUCUCAUAUCAGCCAAGAGCAAAGCAACUCCUUGCUUAUCCCAGCUUGGCUUUCAGUCUAUGCCCACGCCUGGUUUAUGCUUUGGACACGUAG
rnacentral:snoRNA from 1 species